rnacentral:tRNA from 1 species
GCGCCCGUCGCUUAGCUUGGAUAAAGCGUUGGCCUCCGGAGCCGAAGAUCGCAGGUUCAAAUCCUGCCGGGCGCACCA